CGUGGACCCGUAAUCCGGGUUGCGGACAGUGUCUGGUGGGUAGUUUGACUGGGGCGGUCUCCUCCUAAAGAGUAACGGAGGAGCACGAAGGUUGGCUAAUCCUGGUCGGACAUCAGGAGGUUAGUGCAAUGGCAUAAGCCAGCUUGACUGCGAGCGUGACGGCGCGAGCAGGUGCGAAAGCAGGUCAUAGUGAUCCGGUGGUUCUGAAUGGAAGGGCCAUCGCUCAACGGAUAAAAGGUACUCCGGGGAUAACAGGCUGAUACCGCCCAAGAGUUCAUAUCGACGGCGGUGUUUGGCACCUCGAUGUCGGCUCAUCACAUCCUGGGGCUGAAGUAGGUCCCAAGGGUAUGGCUGUUCGCCAUUUAAAGUGGUACGCGAGCUGGGUUUAGAACGUCGUGAGACAGUUCGGUCCCUAUCUGCCGUGGGCGCUGGAGAACUGAGGGGGGCUGCUCCUAGUACGAGAGGACCGGAGUGGACGCAUCACUGGUGUUCGGGUUGUCAUGCCAAUGGCACUGCCCGGUAGCUAAAUGCGGAAGAGAUAAGUGCUGAAAGCAUCUAAGCACGAAACUUGCCCCGAGAUGAGUUCUCCCUGAGACUUAGAGUCUCCUGAAGGAACGUUGAAGACGACGACGUUGAUAGGCCGGGUGUGUAAGCGCAGCGAUGCGUUGAGCUAACCGGUACUAAUGAACCGUGAGG
rnacentral:rRNA from 1 species